UACGUAGGGUGCAAGCGUUAUCCGGAAUUAUUGGGCGUAAAGAGCUCGUAGGCGGUUUGUCGCGUCUGCCGUGAAAGUCCGGGGCUCCAACUCCGGAUCUGCGGUGGGUACGGGCAGACUAGAGUGAUGUAGGGGAGACUGGAAUUCCUGGUGUAGGCGGUGAAAAUGCGCAGAUAUCAAGGAAGAACACCUAUGGCGAAGGCAGCUCUCUGGGACGGUACUGACGCUGAGACGCGAAAACUGGGGAGCGAACAGG
rnacentral:rRNA from 1 species